CUCUGAGACCGUUCGUGCACGUUUAAGAGUCUGCAGGAGCAGCUGUGAGAGCCCUGCAGGGACAAGCCUUUCUAAUUCUGCUUCCACCACUCACCGGGAGCCAUGUGCAGGACAUCAGAAUAAAACCACUGGUUGGUACAUUGUUUGGACUGGAGGAAGCGCUGUUCUAUUGAGGGAUGUAACAGAAGAGACUGA